CGGGAAAAGCUCAAAUUUAAAAUCUGGCUCUCGGGCCCGAGUUGUAAUUUGUAGAGGAUGCUUUUGGUGAGGUGCCUUCCGAGUUCCCUGGAACGGGACGCCAUAGAGGGUGAGAGCCCCGUCUGGUUGGACGCCGAACCUCAGUAAAGCUCCUUCGAC
rnacentral:rRNA from 1 species